GACGAACGCUGGCGGCGUGCCUAAUACAUGCAAGUUGAGCGCUGAAGGUUGGUACCUGUACCAACUGGAUGAGCAGCGAACGGGUGAGUAACGCGUGGGGAAUCUGCCUUUGAGCGGGGGACAACAUUUGGAAACGAAUGCUAAUACCGCAUAAAAACUUUAAACACAAGUUUUAAGUUUGAAAGAUGCAAUUGCAUCACUCAAAGAUGAUCCCGCGUUGUAUUAGCUAGUUGGUGAGGUAAAGGCUCACCAAGGCGAUGAUACAUAGCCGACCUGAGAGGGUGAUCGGCCACAUUGGGACUGAGACACGGCCCAAACUCCUACGGGAGGCAGCAGUAGGGAAUCUUCGGCAAUGGACGAAAGUCUGACCGAGCAACGCCGCGUGAGUGAAGAAGGUUUUCGGAUCGUAAAACUCUGUUGGUAGAGAAGAACGUUGGUGAGAGUGGAAAGCUCAUCAAGUGACGGUAACUACCCAGAAAGGGACGACUAACUACGUG
rnacentral:rRNA from 1 species